UAAGGAAUAUUGGUCAAUGGACGCAAGUCUGAACCAGCCAUGCCGCGUGAAGGAUGAAGGUCCUCUGGAUUGUAAACUUCUUUUAUCUGGGACGAAAACGGGAUUUUUAUCUCAAUUGACGGUACCAGAGGAAUAAGCACCGGCUAACUCCGUGCCAGCAGCCGCGGUAAUACGGAGGGUGCGAGCGUUAUCCGGAUUUACUGGGUUUAAAGGGUGCGUAGGUGGGCUUAUAAGUCAGUGGUGAAAUCUCCGAGCUUAACUUGGAAACUGCCGUUGAUACUAUAGGUCUUGAAUUAUUUGGAGGUAAGCGGAAUAUGUCAUGUAGCGGUGAAAUGCUUAGAUAUGACAUGGAACACCAAUUGCGAAGGCAGCUUACUAUGCGGUGAUUGACACUGAGGCACGAAAGCGUGGGUAGCAAACA
rnacentral:rRNA from 1 species